AGGCCUGAAAGGACUCGCUGAGCAUGACAAUCAAGUGGAAGAGGGUCUUGCAAUUGCACUUGUCCCUGAGGGGGGCCCUUGUCCUUGCCACCUUGGUUCUUGCUCAGGCUGCUGGGGCUGAGGCCUGAGGUCUGGGAUGGGGAGAGAGCCUUCAGUAUGUGGGCCGCCCUCCUGUCAGAACAGUGUUUGUCGUCUCCUGCUAUCUUACGAGAAGAGAGACAGAAGGAGAGAAGAGGGGCAGGAGGAGAGAAAACACAAGAAAGAGGAUGGAAGAUAAAGAGGAAGAUUUUGCAUCGGGUUGAUGUAGUGGAUGCUGUAGUCCACUACCCAGAUUCCUUCCCCAACCCACAACAAUGAGGUUCUCAUUCCGGAGCUGCUAGGAGGGAUG
rnacentral:lncRNA from 10 species